rnacentral:snoRNA from 1 species
AGACCAUGAUGUGGGCAUCUCCGAAGCAAGUCUUUUUACCUUUCCCAUGUUUUGUAUAAAGGCUCAGAAUUCAACUGCAUGAAAGAAAAAAUAUUGUUCCUCAUCUU